rnacentral:tRNA from 1 species
GCAACAGUAGCUCAGCGCCAGAGCGCCGGCCUUGUAAGUCGGACGACGAAGGUUAAAAUCCUUCCUGCUGCU